rnacentral:lncRNA from 1 species
ACAGGAUAAGAGGGUAAAAGAUAAGAUGAUGAUAGUGCGAUUGAUGUCCUUUGCAGAUUUUACUGUCCUUUGCAAUAUAUGUUAGGUCCCUUCCCCUAUUUUUAAUUGUCAGAUUCUAAAUCAAUGGUACCAAGGCUCUUUCUGAACUCCACCAAAAUAUGUAUAUUUUAUAAUAACAAUUCAUUGGUUGUUGAUGAAGCUCCAGGGUUGUCUUUUGGAAGAUUCCAACUCUAACACCUAUUUGUCUUCAUCUCCCUGUUCUCUUCCUUCCAACAUUUACUACAUAGAUUCCAACAUAUUUCAAACAUCAGAUUUUAAUUCAUAGUAAAACCAAAAUUUCUUUUGUUUAGAGUUCAGCAAAUACUCAUUUUGUUUCUUUAGCUGUCUUGAAAUUUAGGAAAAUGCUGAGAGCAUAUGUUUGGAGACUAAACUGACCAAUUAAGUGUUACUGGUAGAAAAUAAAGUGGAUGAAGCAAAAGGGUUGUUAACUUUAUAAUAUACUAAAAAUUUUGGAUGGAAAAAGUGGUGUUAAGUUAAGUACAGUUUAUGCAAAGACACAGAGAAUAGGGUUGUGUUGCAGCUUUGAGGAAAAUAGAAAAGAAACAAAAAGAAAAAGAGUUGAAAGUGUUUUGUUUGCAGCAUAGAACAUAGACACACAUACACACAAAG